AGUGAACGCUGGCGGUAGGCCUAACACAUGCAAGUCGAACGGCAGCACAGUGAGAGCUUGCUCUUACGGGUGGCGAGUGGCGGACGGGUGAGGAAUACAUCGGAAUCUACUUUUUCGUGGGGGAUAACGUAGGGAAACUUACGCUAAUACCGCAUACGACCUACGGGUGAAAGCAGGGGAUCUUCGGACCUUGCGCGAUUGAAUGAGCCGAUGCCGGAUUAGCUAGUUGGCGGGGUAAAGGCCCACCAAGGCGACGAUCCGUAGCUGGUCUGAGAGGAUGAUCAGCCACACUGGAACUGAGACACGGUCCAGACUCCUACGGGAGGCAGCAGUGGGGAAUAUUGGACAAUGGGCGCAAGCCUGAUCCAGCCAUACCGCGUGGGUGAAGAAGGCCUUCGGGUUGUAAAGCCCUUUUGUUGGGAAAGAAAAGCAGCAGGUUAAUCCCCCGCUGUUCUGACGGUACCCAAAGAAUAAGCACCGGCUAACUUCGUG
rnacentral:rRNA from 1 species